GCUGCCAUUGCGGAUUUUGCCAGCUUCAGCCAGUUUAGUCCUAAGAAGGAACUUCUGACCCCAGACAUCCUGUUUUCUAAAACUAAGCAGUUAAAGCUGAAUGGGAAUUUAGCCCUGUCACAUAGGCAUUGGUUGGGCAACAAAAGCAGGGUAGGGCUCCAGCUAAGCCACGUAGGCACUACGAUGGGCAACAGAAAGGUUGGUUUCUGGGCAAUUCAGAGAAACCAAGGACAGCUACCCCCAGAACUCAGAGUAGCCAACUGGGUUGCUCACAGGAGAUGCCUUAACUGAAAGGUGAUCAGACUCCACAGGAGACCCAGAGAAGAUGUGGAGGGAGCUCAGAGGCUGUCCUGGAGGAGACGUGGAGACAGUUCAGAGGCUGUCCCGGAGAAGACGUGGAAAGAGCUCAGAGGCUGUCCCAGAGAAGACGUGGAGAGCUCAGAGGAUGUCCCAAACAAGAGAGAGCUCAGAGGCUGUCCCAGAGAAGACGUGGAGAGAGUUCAGAGGCUGUCCUGGAGAAGACGUGGAAAGAGCUCAGAGACUCAGAGACUGUCCCGGAGAAGACAUGGAAACAGCUCAGAGGCUGUCUGCAAGAAGACGUGCAGAGAGUUCAGAGGCUGUCCCAGAGAAGACAUGGAGAGAGCUCAAAGGCUGUCCACAAGAAGAUGUGGAGAGAGUUCAGAGGCUGUCGUUACUGUUGCACUUGGCUGUUUUUCUUUGGAUAAUUAUUGCAAUCAAUUUUAGUAAUUCAGGUGUUAAAUCACAGUCAAGCACCUAUUUACCUAGUGGUAAAAUCCUUAAGUAAGUCAUAUUUGGUUGGGAAGAUCAAAGAAAUCACCCAGUCUCCCACAUCCGAAAUUGUGCAGUCUGGACUGUCAGGAACAAAAGUGAAAGAGAGACGUCAUCAAGGCCGGGCGCAGUGGCUCAUGCCUGUAAUCCCAGCAAUUUGGAAGGCCAAGGAGGGUGGAUCAUGAGGUCAGGAGUUCAAGACCAGCCUGGCCAAUAUGGUGAAACCCUGUCUCUACUAAAAAUACAAAAAUUAGCCAGGCAUGGUGGCAGGCACCUGUAAUCCCAGCUACUUGGGAGGCUGAGGCAGAAGAAUCACUUGAACCUGAGAGGCAGAGGUUGCAAUGAGCCAAGAUUGUGCCAUUGCACUCCAGCCUGGGAGACAAAGCGAGACUCUAUCUCAAAAAAAAAAAAAAAAAAAAAAAAAAAAAGAAUGACUAAAAUUAAGAAGAUUGAUGAUUCCAAAUAUUGGUAAAGAUGUAGAACAACUAGAACUCCCACAUAUUGCUGAUGAAAAUGAAAAAUAAUACAUUACUUUGGAAAAUACUUUGGUACUGAUUUACCAUAUGACCCCAAAAUCUCACUUGUAGAAAUUUAUACAGGAAAAAUGAAAACAUAUGCUCACAGAAAGCUUGUAUACACAUGCUUAUGGCAAUAAAUUUAUUUAUAGUUGCCUAUCAACAAGUGAUGAACAAAUAUAUUUUAGUAUCUUGAUACUACUUUCUAGCUAGAAAAGGAAUACUGUUAAGCAAAAAUAGAGGAUGAAGUAGUAAUAUACAUAACAUAGAUGAAUUUAAAAACACCAUGCUGAUUGAAAGAAAACAAUUAUCAAAUACACAGUGUAAUAUUCUAUUCACAGAAAGUUUGAAAACAAAAAACUAUAGUCUCUGAAAGAAAACCAUUGGUUGCAGGAAGAUGGGGAUUCAUUGGCCACAAAAGGGACUGAGGAAACUUUUUAUGGGUAAUGGAAAUAUUUUAUAUCUUGAUUUUGGCACCAAUUAUACAACUGUAUGUACACAUUUGUCAAAAUUCUAAUUGUAUUAUACACAACAUUAGUGACUUUAACUGUCUAUAAAUUAUAUCUCAAUAAAAUUGGUCUUAAAAGAU